rnacentral:rRNA from 1 species
GGUUAAGCGACUAAGCGUACACGGUGGAUGCCCUGGCAGUCAGAGGCGAUGAAGGACGUGCUAAUCUGCGAUAAGCGUCGGUAAGGUGAUAUGAACCGUUAUAACCGGCGAUUUCCGAAUGGGGAAACCCAGUGUGUUUCGACACACUAUCAUUAACUGAAUCCAUAGGUUAAUGAGGCGAACCGGGGAACUGAAACAUCUAAGUAUCCCCGAGGAAAAGAAAUCAACCGAGAUUCCCCCAGUAGCGGCGAGCGAACGGGGAGCAGCCCAGAGCCUGAAUCAGUGUGUGUGUUAGUGGAAGCGUCUGGAAAGGCGCGCGAUACAGGGUGACAGCCCCGUACACAAAAAUGCACAUAUUGUGAGCUCGAUGAGUAGGGCGGGACACGUGGUAUCCUGUCUGAAUAUGGGGGACCAUCCUCCAAGGCUAAAUACUCCUGACUGACCGAUAGUGAACCAGUACCGUGAGGGAAAGGCGAAAAGAACCCCGGCGAGGGGAGUGAAAAAGAACCUGAAACCGUGUACGUACAAGCAGUGGGAGCACAGAGCAAUCUGUGUGACUGCGUACCUUUUGUAUAAUGGGUCAGCGACUUAUAUUCUGUAGCAAGGUUAACCGAAUAGGGGAGCCGAAGGGAAACCGAGUCUUAACUGGGCGUUAAGUUGCAGGGUAUAGACCCGAAACCCGGUGAUCUAGCCAUGGGCAGGUUGAAGGUUGGGUAACACUAACUGGAGGACCGAACCGACUAAUGUUGAAAAAUUAGCGGAUGACUUGUGGCUGGGGGUGAAAGGCCAAUCAAACCGGGAGAUAGCUGGUUCUCCCCGAAAGCUAUUUAGGUAGCGCCUCGUGAAUUCAUCUCCGGGGGUAGAGCACUGUUUCGGCAAGGGGGUCAUCCCGACUUACCAACCCGAUGCAAACUGCGAAUACCGGAGAAUGUUAUCACGGGAGACACACGGCGGGUGCUAACGUCCGUCGUGAAGAGGGAAACAACCCAGACCGCCAGCUAAGGUCCCAAAGUCAUGGUUAAGUGGGAAACGAUGUGGGAAGGCCCAGACAGCCAGGAUGUUGGCUUAGAAGCAGCCAUCAUUUAAAGAAAGCGUAAUAGCUCACUGGUCGAGUCGGCCUGCGCGGAAGAUGUAACGGGGCUAAACCAUGCACCGAAGCUGCGGCAGCGACGCUUAUGCGUUGUUGGGUAGGGGAGCGUUCUGUAAGCCUGUGAAGGUGUGCUGUGAGGCAUGCUGGAGGUAUCAGAAGUGCGAAUGCUGACAUAAGUAACGAUAAAGCGGGUGAAAAGCCCGCUCGCCGGAAGACCAAGGGUUCCUGUCCAACGUUAAUCGGGGUAGGGUGAGUCGACCCCUAAGGCGAGGCCGAAAGGCGUAGUCGAUGGGAAACAGGUUAAUAUUCCUGUACUUGGUGUUACUGCGAAGGGGGACGGAGAAGGCUAUGUUGGCCGGGCGACGGUUGUCCCGGUUUAAGCGUGUAGGCUGGUUUUCCAGGCAAAUCCGGAAAAUCAAGGCUGAGGCGUGAUGACGAGGCACUACGGUGCUGAAGCAACAAAUGCCCUGCUUCCAGGAAAAGCCUCUAAGCAUCAGGUAACAUCAAAUCGUACCCCAAACCGACACAGGUGGUCAGGUAGAGAAUACCAAGGCGCUUGAGAGAACUCGGGUGAAGGAACUAGGCAAAAUGGUGCCGUAACUUCGGGAGAAGGCACGCUGAUAUGUAGGUGAAGUCCCUCGCGGAUGGAGCUGAAAUCAGUCGAAGAUACCAGCUGGCUGCAACUGUUUAUUAAAAACACAGCACUGUGCAAACACGAAAGUGGACGUAUACGGUGUGACGCCUGCCCGGUGCCGGAAGGUUAAUUGAUGGGGUUAGCGGUAACGCGAAGCUCUUGAUCGAAGCCCCGGUAAACGGCGGUACCGUAACUAUAACGGUCCUAAGGUAGCGAAAUUCCUUGUCGGGUAAGUUCCGACCUGCACGAAUGGCGUAAUGAUGGCCAGGCUGUCUCCACCCGAGACUCAGUGAAAUUGAACUCGCUGUGAAGAUGCAGUGUACCCGCGGCAAGACGGAAAGACCCCGUGAACCUUUACUAUAGCUUGACACUGAACAUUGAGCCUUGAUGUGUAGGAUAGGUGGGAGGCUUUGAAGUGUGGACGCCAGUCUGCAUGGAGCCGGCCUUGAAAUACCACCCUUUAAUGUUUGAUGUUCUAACGUUGGCCCCUGAUCGGGGUUGCGGACAGUGUCUGGUGGGUAGUUUGACUGGGGCGGUCUCCUCCUAAAGAGUAACGGAGGAGCACGAAGGUUGGCUAAUCCUGGUCGGACAUCAGGAGGUUAGUGCAAUGGCAUAAGCCAGCUUGACUGCGAGCGUGACGGCGCGAGCAGGUGCGAAAGCAGGUCAUAGUGAUCCGGUGGUUCUGAAUGGAAGGGCCAUCGCUCAACGGAUAAAAGGUACUCCGGGGAUAACAGGCUGAUACCGCCCAAGAGUUCAUAUCGACGGCGGUGUUUGGCACCUCGAUGUCGGCUCAUCACAUCCUGGGGCUGAAGUAGGUCCCAAGGGUAUGGCUGUUCGCCAUUUAAAGUGGUACGCGAGCUGGGUUUAGAACGUCGUGAGACAGUUCGGUCCCUAUCUGCCGUGGGCGCUGGAGAACUGAGGGGGCUGCUCCUAGUACGAGAGGACCGGAGUGGACGCAUCACUGGUGUUCGGGUUGUCAUGCCAAUGGCACUGCCCGGUAGCUAAAUGCGGAAGAGAUAAGUGCUGAAAGCAUCUAAGCACGAAACUUGCCCCGAGAUGAGUUCUCCCUGACUCCUUGAGAGUCCUGAAGGAACGUUGAAGACGACGACGUUGAUAGGCCGGGUGUGUAAGCGCAGCGAUGCGUUGAGCUAACCGGUACUAAUGAACCGUGAGGCUUAACCUU